UACGUAGGGAGCAAGCGUUGUCCGGAAUCAUUGGGCGUAAAGCGCGCGUAGGCGGCCUCGUAAGUCCGUUGUGAAAGUCAAAGGCUCAACCUUUGAAAGCCGGUGGAUACUGUGGGGCUAGAGUCCGGAAGAGGCGAGUGGAAUUCCUGGUGUAGCGGUGGAAUGCGCAGAUAUCAGGAGGAACACCAAUAGCGAAGGCAGCUCGCUGGGACGGUACUGACGCUAAGGCGCGAAAGCGUGGGGAGCGAACAGG
rnacentral:rRNA from 1 species